CGCGUGGGGAACGUGCCCUUUGCUACGGAAUAGUCCCGGGAAACUGGGUUUAAUACCGUAUGUGCCCUCCAUUUUGGUGAUGGUUGGGGAAAGAUUUAUCGGCAAAGGAUCGGCCCGCGUUGGAUUAGGUAGUUGGUGGGGUAAUGGCCUACCAAGCCGACGAUCCAUAGCUGGUUUGAGAGGAUGAUCAGCCACACUGGGACUGAGACACGGCCCAGACUCCUACGGGAGGCAGCAGUGGGGAAUCUUGCGCAAUGCGCGAAAGCGUGACGCAGCAACGCCGCGUGGGGGAAGAAGGCC
rnacentral:rRNA from 1 species